AAACCAAACCAAAAAGAAAAAGGGAGAGUCCCAACAAGGACGUGGAAUACGCUGGAAGGCUACGCCAUUGACGCCAGACCUCGCAGAGUAUCAGCAUCAGGAUGAAUCUGAUCUAGACAGACAUGGCUGGACCCCACUAGACUAUUUUGAACAGUACAUAGAUAAAGAUUUGAUGACAAUGAUUGCAGAAUGCUCGAAUGUUAUGUCACUGUCUAAGAGUGGGGACCCACUCAAUAUGUCAGUGGAUGAGGUUUACCACUUUUUUGGUGCCUGCAUUUUGAUGUCCUGCAUCCGAUACCCAACUAUCAGGAUGUACUGGUCUUCUUAGACAUGUGAAGAUCAAUCUCUGACCUCUGAGCUCCCGUAAGCAAAAUUGUUCCUUUUUUUCCACUGUGAUGUUCAAAACACAUUAAUAGUCUGAUGCAACAGUGACAAUUUUAAAUGCUUGCUUUGAAUGUUUUAUAUUUUGUUACAAGCAUACAAUGUCAUCCUGCAACUGUUUGCAGCUUUUCAAAUGAACUAUGAGUUAAUGUUUACUGUCCAAAAGGGCAAAAAUGCAAUGUUUCCAUGUUUUUUUUCCACUCUCCGAUAUUCAAAACAUGUUCAAACAUGUGUGUAUGGCUUAAUACAUGCAAAAGCAGUCAGAAAAAAAAAAAAAAAACUGCCAUGUUCAAGGUGGAAAUAAAGAGUUUUUCACUCUGUUACACAAAGUUGACUUGAUUGUGUUUUGUGGAAAUUCGGAACAUGAGUCCACAUAUGUGGACAUAAUUUUUCUCUGAAAGUACAUAACAUCAGAAGAUGUUUAGUUUUUAUUCUAAUUAGGCUCCAAUAAACCCAAAUAGUAAAGAGAAAUAAAAAAUGCAUGUAAAAAAAAAAUAAAUAAAAAAAACAAACACCUUGGGCCUUAGGAGAUAGAGAUAUAGAUAGAUAUCUAUCUCUAUACACACGCAAUCUCGCAGGCACCAACAUAUUUAGGGGGCAAAAAUGUUUUUCGAAUGGCUGCUUAUUUGUGUUCUGAGCCAUCAUAGUACAGACACGGUGAACAGACACUGCGGUCACAAGUUGAUCUGGCCUGCUUCUGUGUCCAAGGGGCAGCUGUGUGUCUGCUGUAAAGAGUGAAAUAGUUGAUAUCGCGGGAGUCCACUGUGGUUCUGUUGGCUUGUUGAGUUACGGACAGGGUUGGAGUUCCCCCCCCCCCCCUCACUGAGUACAAGUUCGAGUCUCGUACUGUAUUUAUCUAUUUUCAUUUCAAAGGGUUCCAUAGUUCGCCUAUGUGAUGCAUGUUUAUUCAAACAGCAAAGACGAGUCACUGCAUUUUAUUAAUAUUUAUUAGAGAUACACAUUCAAAGGAAGAGCAGCUCUCCCUUUUCCUGUUUACAGCAACUUCCGUAACAACCAGCAACAAAAACAACGACUGACAGUCAGCCACACACUUACUCAAACAGGAGGCCGAACACGUAUCAGAAAACCUGAACAAAAAAAGGCUUAACCGAGAACAGCUACGUCUUCUCUUCCCGUUUUCAACAUCUGGUGUAGCUACGGCGACCACAGACGCAUUCGGCUCACGGUCGCCAGUUAACAUAGCCCCACGUUAAUCUGAAACACCGGACGUCGGAACCGCCGCGGUUUGGAUAUUUUCCAAAGUAGUAUUUUCCUCGGACGGAGCCUCAGGAUUUCUCCCCCUUUUUCACAUUGUUUAUUCUGGCAUGGAUGUCAGUGUCGGAUAUAUCACUGAAAUCCCCCAGAUACAUGGCUGGAUCGGUGUUGUAAUACCUCUGAGCGGAGUGGUCGAUUAAUUCUGUAAGUAACAAACAAACCCGUAUUGCUUUGCUCAUGCACUGCUUUACAUACACCAUACAUCGACUUAAAAAAAAAAAAAAAAAAAAAAAAAAAAAA